CACAAUUUAUAUUUGAGAUUUCAUUUAUAAUUUAUUUCUGUUAAGUAUUUGUGAAUUUUAUCUUAACGAGUUAUGUAUAUUUACUGUUAUUUUAUCAAAUUUAUGUUUCCUUUGAGAAUUACCUUUUUGGCACCUUGCGGCUUCUGUACCUCCUGGGUUUCCGUAGCUCCUUCCGUCUGUCCCUCACAGUGCCGUUUUGCAGUGCUGAGGGUAAGUUGUAUGUAAAAACGUUGCUGCAUCAUUACCUUAUUUACUGUGGAAAAUAAGUGAUUUAAGUUGUAAUGUUCGGUUUAUUUUAUAAACUGAUAGUAAUACAAUGUUAAUCAGUCAUUUUGUUUAGGUUUUGAGAGUUUUAUAUCACUUUGGAGACUGUUUGAAUGUAGCGGUAUGUUUUUCCUUGUAUUUUCAUACUUUCUGUUUCGUUUUACAGCCGCAUGUUGUCGUUUAUUUUGUCCACUAGGUGUCACUGUUUUACCAUUUGGUAUACUGUUUCUCAUGUUCUUUUAAUUAGAUUUAUUGUUAAUAUACACUGUAAAACCGAAGUUUUUCAGACAUUUGUAGCAGCGCUUGGUUAUAAAUAUUUACAUGUAGUUAAAAUACUGAAAUGAUGAUUGUAAUGUAUUUCUAUGUAAUAUAAAUGUGUUUUGAGCUCAAGACAGUGCCGUUUUGCAUUGCCGAGGGAGCAGAGGUGCAGAAAACAAAUGUCCAGAAGGCAAAUUGAAUGUUCUUUUGUCUUCUGCAGAAAAUAAAAGCUGGAAAACA